AGAAUCAACGCUGGCGGCGUGCCUAACACAUGCAAGUCGAACGAGAAAGUGGAGCAAUCCAUGAGUAAAGUGGCGCACGGGUGAGUAACACGUGACUAACCUACCCUUGAGUGGGGGAUAACCUAGGGAAACCUGGGCUAAUACCGCAUAAUACCUACGGGUCAAAGGAGCAAUUCGCUUCAGGAGGGGGUCGCGGCCGAUUAGUUAGUUGGCGGGGUAAUGGCCCACCAAGACAGUGAUCGGUA
rnacentral:rRNA from 1 species